GUCUGCUGUCUGACUGUGGAGGCAGAAGCUGUGGACUGCAUGCUGGAAAGAGAGCUGGGACCAUUUCUUGUCAAACAAGAAGAUGUGGAACACCUGGUAGGGAUUGUCCUCCCCCCACGCACGCAUCUUCUCAUGAAGGUGAAACCAACGGACUCCGCAGCUGUUGUUACCAUGGCAACAGACAACUGGAGGAUCCUUCCACUUGUAAACAGUUAUUUACAUGGUCUGGAGAAGUCUGGUGCCUAACAUAUAGAUCAUCAUCAUCAUCAUACACCUUUCUCACGCCGCGGCCAUAAUAGAUAAAAAGCUAGGUCAAUGAGGCAAACAGACAAAACUUAUUUCUCAAAUUUGUUCCCAUUUACUUUUCUAGUUUUCCCCCAACUACACGAAUUUUCACAAUAUAUGAUGAAAUUAUGAAUAUCAUAAUUUGUGUUAUGGACUGAAAGAUGUAACAAUUUAGAGACUGAUACAAAAUAAAACAUGAUAAUACAAAUAUUUGACAGACAUGCAGUCAUUCUCUUAUUGGUCAAUUUCAUAAUUGCCAUGCUAUAAUUGGUUCAACUGCUUAUUGUGAUGGAUAGUCUUUUGUUUGCCACAUUGGACACAGUUUUGAUCUAUCAUGUCCGCUGCGUGAAAAGGGUAUAGUCAGCCAAUCAACUAUGUGAAAAAAACUCGAAUUGAAAUUUCAGAAUGUUUAAUUUCUUUGAAAUGUUAUGUUUCACAUUAUAUGAUACUAUGUAUGACUUAAUGUGACAUGUGAAUUUUAUAAUUUUAGGUAAUAUUCUAUGUUCAAAGGACAAUUUUUCCUUAAAUUUUUCUUGUAUUGUAGAAAGCAUUUGACAGCCCCAAAAGAAAAAAUGUA